GACGAACGCUGGCGGCGUGCUUAACACAUGCAAGUCGAACGGAAAGGCCCUGCUUUUGUGGGGUGCUCGAGUGGCGAACGGGUGAGUAACACGUGAGUAACCUGCCCUAGACUUUGGGAUAACUUCAGGAAACUGGGGCUAAUACCGGAUAGGAGCCCCGGCUGCAUGGGGGGGGUUGGAAAGUUUCGGCGGUUGGGGAUGGACUCGCGGCUUAUCAGCUUGUUGGUGGGGUAGUGGCUCACCAAGGCGUUGACGGGUAGCCGGCCUGAGAGGGUGACCGGCCACACUGGGACUGAGACACGGCCCAGACUCCUACGGGAGGCAGCAGUGGGGAAUAUUGCACAAUGGGCGGAAGCCUGAUGCAGCAACGCCGCGUGCGGGAUGACGGCCUUCGGGUUGUAAACCGCUUUCGCCUGUGACGAAGCGUGAGUGACGGUACUGGGUGAAGAAGCACCGGCUAACUACGUG
rnacentral:rRNA from 1 species